CUAAAAAUAUUUUAUAUAUAUAAAUAAAAUGAUCAAAUAUAUAAAAGAAACUAUCGAUAAUAUAUACAAAUAAAUUCAUCGUUGCGCAGGUCUCAGUAUAUGUGUAUUACAUUUGUAGAUACAAAACGUUAUUAUUGUUUAGGUUAAUGGUCUGCCUUAGUCCAUUUGGACUUUCGAAAAUGUGGUUCGGCCCAAGAAUGGUCAUAUUUUAUAGUUUAUUUAUUUAUUUUGUUUUGUGAAUUACAAAAAGACACGAUUUGCUCAUCUGCUUCCUUCUUUAAUCGGUUCUGCAACCAAACGUUUGCAUCCAUGGUUCUCACUUUCUUCUUUCUUUUGUUUUCACUUGUUUUUAAUGAUUUGUAUACUAUAAUUAUAUCAUAUCUACAAAUAUAAACAAUUUUCAGAGAAUUUUUAGCUUUCCGAAAACAACAUUACGCGGCGGCUACGUAACCGUAUACCACGUUCUCGCGGUUAAAACACGGGUUAGCGUAGAAUCCAUCCGAACUGGCCAAACUCACCAUAGUGACUGCACGAUUUAUUAUUUUGCGGACGAUUACUCGGCAACUCGGCCGCUUUUUAGUACAAGGCCCACAUCUAAUGGGUCUUCUUCCACGCCCACUCAUUCCGCAUUGAGGCGUGCUUUAACUUUUUAGAGAUUCUAAAUUCUUGUUUAGUGUUCAUACAAUCACCACAUGACAUUUCUUUUUCUUUUGAUUUCACUCGCACGAUAUCGCGAAUCACUUCUCUUCUCGAUAGAUCAUUCGUCUUUUCACUACUACAAUUCAAACACGUUUUACUCUGGAAUUCUUUCUGAAUGUAUAAUAUUAAAAGUAAGUGCAUUUUAGAUAUAUAAAUAGCCAAAUCAAUUCUUUUAAUUUUGUCCAUGUACUAUAAACCGAGAUAUUACAAAAUCUUUCAAAAAAAUGUUUUAAGUAUAUAGAAGGGAUAUGCUAUAUCUAGGUACUGUACAACCUUCAAUUAUAAGUAAAAGAUUAAAAACAGGCUACCUAUUUUUUCCAAAACAAUGGUUUCUAUAGAGCGAAGCUUCUUCAAACCACAAACAUUGAUGUGAAUACUCGUUGGCAUAGUUCAGUUAUAUUGUUUAGACCUGGACUUUAACGUCUUUAUCUUGCUGGUAUCUUAACAUAGCAGAAAAUGUCCCCAUUUUUAAGCCAUCCAGAUAGUGCAAUAGCUUUUUUUUGGAACACAAUUUUCAUUAAAUACUUAAACAUCUGAACUACAAUUAGAAAUAGAGUUUUUCAAAACUUUACAAAGAUAAUACAAUAAAAUAUAAGAGAUAGCAAAUACUCUAAGACAGAAUGAUAGCGAAUUUAGAACAAGUCUCGAAUGUGUUAGAGUAAAGGUCACAACACCACCAAAAUUUUUAGAAAUAGUCACUAUAAAAUGUGAUUUUGACACCCAAUCCGCACUUCGAAAUAUCUUUAUGCUGACUUUCGUUUCAUUUUCAGGCAUAAGACAAUAAAACAUAAGAGAUAACAAAUAGUCGAAGAUAGAAUGACAGCGGAUUUAGAACAAGUCUCGAAUGUGUCAGAGUAAAAGUCACAGUACUACCGGAAUAUUUUGAAAUAGUCACUCUAAAAUGUGAUGUUGACACCCAAUCCACACCUCGAAAGAUCGUCAUGAUGACUUCCGUUGCAUUUUCGGGCCCCAAACAGACUGUUACACCAAAUAGCAUAACGGUUCUAGAAAUAGGAAAAUACCUAUGUUAACAAUUUGAGAGAAAGGACUCCUCAUGGAAGAGGCAAGGGGUGAUAUGUUUGCUCCUCAGAAAAGAAGCAUGAUGAUGAGCCCCGUGAAUCCACCAGUAAAUGGGGGAAUGGCAUACUCUUCAAGCAAGAGAGGUAAAGUCUUGUGUGUACAAUAAUCCUUAGAAAAUUAGCCAAAAAAGCAUUUCUUCCACAAGUAAAUGGACUGUGAAAACUAUUGGAUUAAGAUUAUGACAUUUGAACUCUAAUGGGCUUACCAAGCCCAUGUUCAUAUUUGCAGGCCCAACUUUGUGGAUCUCAAGGAAAGAUCAUGCUAGUGAAGUAAAUCAACGGAGUGAAACGGCGGCGUGUACACAGAUGGGAUAAGUCCAGUGGAGUGGGGGGGGGGGGGCUCUGGUUUGGAGAUAGAGCAUGGCGGAGGGGACUGUCUGAAGCUAUCACUAUUCCGGUGAGGGAAAGGAAGCUGCAGCGAGAGACCAAAGGCUUAUGGUGGAUAUAUUGGAGGAUCUAACUGGUGAGACACAGACCAACAGUGUAUACUCCAACAAGGAGUGGAUAGUCGCCGAUUGGGGGUCAGCGGAGUGGUUAAACAUCUUUGGUAGGGUACAACGGUUGUAGGUGGUGAGAUAUGAAACAGAAAGGGGAACACCCCCCAAUUUUUUUUGGUUCUGGGGAAACCGAAACCGUAGAUUAUGACAAUGAAUCUCCGAGGAGAGUUGCAUGCGUGAAUAAAAGCCUCGAAAAAAAACCGAUGAUAAAAACAGAGAAACUCAAGACAGAGAUAAAAACGCAGCGAAACUAGACAAGAGAGUAAGCGAGAUGAACAAAGGCUUGAGGCUGGCGGCCAGAGGCACCGCCGACCCCAAGAAACGGCAAGGGUGGUGGAGUCUUGAUUUUCGAGUCUGAGAGAGAAUUAGAACAAAGUUUAGAAAACCAGAUAGUACAAUAGUUAUUUAAUUGAUUUAUGUCUGCAAAGUAGUUGAUAAAAGUUAGAUUUGUAGUCAAAUUUUUAUUUUAAGUAACUAUUGGUUAUAAAAUUUAUUUGGGAAAAUUGUAUUUUUAGGUAAAGAAAGCACAAACAUUAUAAUCCAACAUAUAAUUGUCCCAAUAGGCUAAUGAUAUACAAAAUCCCAAUAAUGUCCAUGAAAAUACAAUUAACAAACUAAUUAUGAAAAUAUUAAAAUAAUAUAUAAAAUAAUUAAACUACAUUCAACAUUGACAUAAGUUGUAAACUCGGUUGUGAUAGGUGUGCGUGGCCUGAAACUGAUAACACCUGGGAGCUUCUAGAGAAUCUGCAGUCUAUUUCUGCUUCUAUAGAUGCAUUUGAAAAAUCUUAAGGCCAGGGAAGGCUGUUAAGAAGCGGAAGGGCCAGUAUGGAGGUUGUAAUUCUCAGUUGAAUAAGAAGAAGAAUCAGCAAGGGUUAGCAUCUACAUCAGAUGAUGCUUCGGAGAAAACCGAUCCGACACUCAACGAGUUAUGAGGACCAGUCAUUGGUUCUGAGGGUGAUAGUGCAAGAACAAAUGGCCUUCUAAAGGUUAAGCGUAAGAAGAUUCA